UCUGUCUGUGUCUACUUGGAUCAAUUGAAACCAUUGAUAUCUGACUCUCAGUUUCUCUUUCCCAGAUGCAGGUACACCCCAAAAGCUACAUUUCCCCCAUGUUUGACCAUGUUGCCUAUGAAAAAAAGGUUUCUUCCUUAUUGUACGACUCUCCCACAUCCCUUAAUUUCAGAUACCCGAUAUGUUACAAUAUGUAGGCACUGUGUGGAGUUAUGCAGCAUGAGGAUCUCAUUCUAUCAGAGAGAGAGAUCAGUGAGACGGUGACGCCUCGCACAAUCAGAGGGACCACGCUGAGAGCCAGACAGCACUGCGAAAGGAAAGAGCUCCAUAAUGGAGGAGCAGGAGGUUGAGCACCACGUAAUUGGCAAGUCUUCCUGCUUUUCUUUCUUUUUUUUUGCCCACACCUCUCUACUUCCAUGCAUGGUGCAAGUGAUGUUAAAUUGCCUUCUCUCUCUCUGUAUUCCCUCAUUAUUUCUCUCUUCCUGUCAGCAUUGCAGAACAGUAGAAUAUGCGAUCCCAGACACUAGUCAGAUUCGGAGAUGGGCCCGAAAUGCUGCUAAAGAAUGUUCCCUGUCCAUCUGUCAGCAUUCCUGGGACAGAGCUGCUUUUAGCUUCCUUUAUUCAAGACAAUCGUCCUUGUCUGCUCUUCAUUCGGGUCUGUGUCCACACUGGAUCACUAUUUGUGUGUGAGCCCGUCCAUUAUGAGGCGUAUCCCGAGCGGGAUACUGUGACUCUGCCUGUGCUCAGAUCCUGAGUCACUGGCUCUGAACAAUGGACAGACUUAGAGACGGAGCAGUACAUCUUAUGCACACCCUGUGUGUACAUUCAAAGGGACAACCAGGCAUAACAGGAAGCUGUUGCCAUCAUUGCUGUCAAGAAGGGAGAGGGAACGCUGUCUAUCGAUGUGCUAGAUGACUUAAAUGUUCUCGAAGAUGACAUGGUGAUGCCUUCAAAAUCCUGGUUCAGUGCACAGACUCUGGUUUUUGCCUUUCACAUGAACUUCAAGACUUCUUUUUACCUUCUUAAUUUUGUGAAAAGGUAACACUGACUCAAUUGAUUGAUUACAUUUGCUCUACAUCCACAGACCGUUUGUUUAAUACAUGAUAACUUGUUUUGUUCUAGAUAUGCUUGACUGAAAUAAA